rnacentral:rRNA from 1 species
CCUACGGGUGGCUGCAGUGGGGAAUAUUGGACAAUGGGCGAAAGCCUGAUCCAGCCAUGCCGCGUGUGUGAAGAAGGCCUUCGGGUUGUAAAGCACUUUCAGUGGGGAAGAAAGCCUUGGGGCUAAUACCCUCGAGGAAGGACAUCACCCACAGAAGAAGCACCGGCUAACUCCGUGCCAGCAGCCGCGGUAAUACGGAGGGGUGCGAGCGUUAAUCGGAAUUACUGGGCGUAAAGCGCGCGUAGGCGGUCUGAUAAGCCGGUUGUGAAAGCCCCGGGCUCAACCUGGGAACGGCAUCCGGAACUGUCAGGCUAGAGUGCAGGAGAGGAAGGUAGAAUUCCCGGUGUAGCGGUGAAAUGCGUAGAGAUCGGGAGGAAUACCAGUGGCGAAGGCGGCCUUCUGGACUGACACUGACGCUGAGGUGCGAAAGCGUGGGUAGCAAACAGGAUUAGAUACCCCUGUAGUC